AGGACGAACGCUGGCGGCGUGCUUAACACAUGCAAGUCGAGCGGAAAGGCCCUUCGGGGUACUCGAGCGGCGAACGGGUGAGUAACACGUGAGUAAUCUGCCCCUAUGCUCUGGGAUAGCUCCGGGAAACCGGGAUUAAUACCAGAUAUAACCACUUUAGACAUCUGUUGUGGUGGAAAGAAUUUCGGCUAGGGAUGAGCUCGCGGCCUAUCAGCUUGUUGGUGAGGUAACGGCUCACCAAGGCGACGACGGGUAGCCGGCCUGAGAGGGCGACCGGCCACACUGGGACUGAGACACGGCCCAGACUCCUACGGGAGGCAGCAGUGGGGAAUAUUGCGCAAUGGGCGAAAGCCUGACGCAGCGACGCCGCGUGGGGGAUGAAGGCCUUCGGGUUGUAAACCCUUUCAGCAGGGACGAAGCGAAAGUGACGGUACCUGCAGAAGAAGCGCCGGCUAACUACGCGCCAGCAGCCGCGGUAA
rnacentral:rRNA from 1 species